rnacentral:rRNA from 1 species
AGAGUUCGAUCAUGGCUCAGGACGAACGCUGGCGGCGUGCUUAACACAUGCAAGUCGAACGAACUUUCUUCCUUCGGGUUGAAAGUGAGUGGCGAACGGGUGAGUAACACGUGAGCAACCUGCCCUUGACACUGGAAUAACAGUUGGAAACAGCUGCUAAUACCGGAUAUGACCUCUGACGACAUCGUCUGGAGGUGGAAAGCUCCGGCGGUCAAGGAUGGGCUCGCGGCCUAUCAGCUUGUUGGUGAGGUAACGGCUCACCAAGGCUUCGACGGGUAGCCGGCCUGAGAGGGCGACCGGCCACACUGGGACUGAGAUACGGCCCAGACUCCUACGGGAGGCAGCAGUGGGGAAUAUUGCACAAUGGGCGCAAGCCUGAUGCAGCAACGCCGCGUGCGGGAUGACGGCCUUCGGGUUGUAAACCGCUUUCAGUAGGGACGAAGUUCACAUGACGGUACCUACAGAAGAAGGACCGGCCAACUACGUGCCAGCAGCCGCGGUGAUACGUAGGGUCCGAGCGUUGUCCGGAAUUAUUGGGCGUAAAGGGCUUGUAGGCGGUCUGUCGCGUCGGAAGUGAAAACUCAGGGCUUAACCCUGAGCCUGCUUCUGAUACGGGCAGACUAGAGGGAUGCAGGGAGAACGGAAUUCCUGGUGGAGCGGUGGAAUGCGCAGAUAUCAGGAGGAACACCGGUGGCGAGGGCGGUUCUCUGGGCAUUACCUGACGCUGAGAAGCGAAAGCGUGGGGAGCAAACAGGCUUAGAUACCCUGGUAGUCCACGCCGUAAACGGUGGGCACUAGGUGUGGGGGACAUUCCACGUUCUCCGUGCCGAAGCUAACGCAUUAAGUGCCCCGCCUGGGGAGUACGGCCGCAAGGCUAAAA